GACUAGAGUACUGUAGAGGGGGGUAGAAUUUCAGGUGUAGCGGUGAAAUGCGUAGAGAUCUGAAGGAAUACCGGUGGCGAAGGCGGCCCCCUGGACAGAUACUGACACUCAGAUGCGAAAGCGUGGGGAGCAAACAGGAUUAGAUACCCUGGUAGUCCACGCCGUAAACGAUGUCUACUUGGAGGUUGUGGCCUUGAGCCGUGGCUUUCGGAGCUAACGCGUUAAGUAGACCGCCUGGGGAGUACGGUCGCAAGAUUAAAACUCAAAUGAAUUGACGGGGGCCCGCACAAGCGGUGGAGCAUGUGGUUUAAUUCGAUGCAACGCGAAGAACCUUACCUACUCUUGACAUCCAGAGAACUUUCCAGAGAUGGA
rnacentral:rRNA from 1 species